AGAGUUUGAUCCUGGCUCAGGAUGAACGCUAGCGGCAGGCUUAAUACAUGCAAGUCGAACGGGAUUCRRGGUAGCAAUACUUUGAUGAGAGUGGCGCACGGGUGCGUAACGCGUAUGCAACCUACCUUUAACAGGGGAAUAGCCCCGAGAAAUCGGGAUUAAUACUCCGUAACAUUGCGGGAUGGCAUCAUUCUGCAAUUAAAGAUUUAUCGGUUAAAGAUGGGCAUGCGUGACAUUAGCUGGUUGGUGAGGUAACGGCUCACCAAGGCAACGAUGUCUAGGGGUCCUGAGAGGGUUAUCCCCCACACUGGUACUGAGACACGGACCAGACUCCUACGGGAGGCAGCAGUAAGGAAUAUUGGUCAAUGGGCGCAAGCCUGAACCAGCCAUGCCGCGUGCAGGAAGACGGCCCUAUGGGUUGUAAACUGCUUUUGUCAGGGAAUAAACCUGUCUACGUGUAGGCAGCUGAAGGUACCUGAAGAAUAAGCAUCGGCUAACUCCGUGCCAGCAGCCGCGGUAAUACGGAGGAUGCAAGCGUUAUCCGGAUUCAUUGGGUUUAAAGGGUGCGCAGGCGGAUUGUUAAGUCAGGGGUGAAAUCCUACAGCUCAACUGUAGAACUGCCCUUGAUACUGUCAGUCUAGAGUAUAGUUGAAGUGGGCGGAAUGUGUCAUGUAGCGGUGAAAUGCUUAGAUAUGACACAGAACACCGAUCGCGAAGGCAGCUCGCUAAGCUAUAACUGACGCUCAUGCACGAAAGCGUGGGGAUCAAACAGGAUUAGAUACCCUGGUAGUCC
rnacentral:rRNA from 1 species